rnacentral:snRNA from 1 species
GAGCGGCGGGUAGAAUCCU